GCUGAGCCUGAGGGGCUGUGUUCGGCCUCUGUCAUCUGUCACUAUCCUGCUGAGACUGGUUGCCAGGCUGGGGCUCAGAGGUUCCAGGGCAGCUCACUUCCUGCCGAGGCAGCCAACAGACACCGCCCAGGUGCCCUCACCUCCAGUGGCAUCCAUCCAGACACCAGCACUGACACUGGCCGUGCUCAGAACUGCCUCAGCCCUGAAGACACAACUGACAAAUAUAAGGGGGCUACGCCCUGUGACAGCAGGUGCUCUCACUUUGUGGGUCCUUAUGUAACUGCGCGGUGUUAUUCAGGAUCGCCCGUUCUACACUAUGUGACGCUGCUGCCGUGUCUCCUAGUUAUUUCUCGUUCCGAGGAGAGAAUUCAGCAGUGCAGCAUCCUCUCCGAGCUCUAUGAGUUGAUCGGCUUCCACCGCAAGUCCGCCUUCUUCAAGCGGGUGGCCCCCGUGCAGCGAGCGGCCCCCGGCAUCCCGGAGCCUGGCUGAAAGGCCUUCUACCGACUCCUUCUGCAGACACUUCCUGGCUACAUCCUAUCGCUGGACCUGCAGGACUUCAGCAAAGGUGUUGGAACUAAAACAUAGCUUCAGUCCCAUUAACCAUGCCUGUUUUGGGCCCUGCUGUCCUGUCUCAUCAGGGUGAAUUGUGAUUCGUGUAGAACAGGGCUCAGCAGACUUUUUCUGUCAAGGGCUUGGGAGUAAAUAUUUCAGGGUCUGCAAACCUCCUGAUCUCUGCUGCAGCUGCUCAGCUCUGCUGUUCAGACGCCUGAGCAGCCGGACCGUCCACACACCCACAGAGCUUUAUUCACAGCGGUGGCUGGGGCUGGAUUGGGUGUAUGAACUGCAGUUUGUCCCCACAGCCUCCUCACUAUUGACGCCUGCACCAGAGCAUGCAUUUGCGACAAUGGGUGAACCUGCACUGACACGUCAUCAUCACCUAGAGCCCAUACUUGACACUAGGAUUUACACAUGGUGGUGUGCACUCUGUGGGUUUGGACAGAUGUAAAAUGACACGUUUCCACCAUCACAGCAUCAUACAGAGUAGUCUGUCUUAGUGACCCUAAAAAUGCUCCGUGCUGCACCUCAUUCAUUGCUCCUUCCCCUCUAGCCUCUGACAGCCACUGAUCUUUUAGUCUCUGUGGUUUUCCCUUUCCCAGAACACCAUACAGUUGGAAUCAGACAGUUGUGGAACCUUCCCAGAUUGGCUUCUUUCACUUAGUAAUAAGCAUUUAAGGUUCCUCCAUGUCUUUCCAUGCCUUGAUAACUCAUUUCAUUUUAGCACCAAAUAAUAGUCCAUUUUCUGGCUGGACCACAGUUUAUCCAUUCACCUACUGAAGAACAGCUUAGUUGCUUCUGAGUUCUGGUGAUUAUGAAUAAAGCUGCUAUUAACAUCUGUA